AGUAGUGGCUUAUGUUUCUCUUCACAAAAUUUAUAAGUUUUCUCAUUGGGAUUAAACAUUUUAAAGGCACUGAACAGCCAGAGCCUCUCUUGAUACUUUACUCAACAACUGGCAGGAUUGGACCUCAUCACCUUUUCCCAUUUGAAGUGAUGGGGAAAGCUCCUGCUGACUUCCAGGACAGGAAAGAAGACCAUUUUUAUCAUCUGCCUAUAAUCUGCUGCACUGCAUUACAUUACCAGCCAUUUUUUUAUUUUCCCACAAGCCAGUUGAAUGAAAAGCAUCUGAAUCACCUACCACUGUGCUUUCGUAUAAACAAGUUCUUGGAUAUUUAUAAUAUUAUCUUGGUCUACCUGAUUCCAGUUUGACUUCAGUACAAGGACAAAUGCUUCAAGGCAGAAGUAACAGGUGAUGUUUUUUUAUCACUUGGAGGCAUUCUGAUGUAUUUACAGGCUAUACCCUAGGCAGGUUAUAUUAAAAUCCCCACAAAGACCUGAUGGAGGAUGACAGUGUCUCUGUCCUCAACAUACAAGAAAAGACUAUUUUUAGGUUGGCAGGAGUUUAGUUAUUUUUAAUCAUAGUUCAAAGCUGAAGGGUGGUGCCUGUUGAUGAUCUUUUCUCUGAGAAGGAAGGUAAUCAUAUUAAUUUCUGUUGCUGGUGCUAGAAGGCUUUACUACUGUUCAGUCUGCUUUGAACUGAAACAUGAACUUGCCAGUUAACAAGUGCAAAAUGUCACGUACCAGCUGCCAUAUCCAGAUAUCUGAAUUCUUUUUACUUUUCUCAGUUGUUCCUGGUCCAUAAACUAUAACCUUAAAAAGCAAACAAACAAAAAAUCAGGCAAGAAAGUAAUUGAUUAAUCCCAGUGACCAAAGUGUGCAUAUUCUUCUUCCUACAGCAUUUUAAACAUUCUAUUUUUACAGAAAAAUAUUCAUAGAAGAUGACGUUACUUUUACAGACAUUAAAAUUCAUGCUACGUUUGGUAUUCUCAUAUUGAUUCCUACUGAUAAAAAGGGAACUGAUCACACCUGCCACUCCUUAUGGUCCCCUGCAUCCUCACUUAUCUAUUCCUUCUGCCUCCUCCCACUCUCUGCUUUGCAUCUACAUCCUUCCUGCUUCUGUUCCUGGAACAGCCACUUCCUCCUCAUGAACUCUGGGCCCUGUCAAGAGCCCGAGGAUGUAGGAAAGAUUCUUCCAUUAAUAUUAAAAAAGAUUCUUCCAUUAACAAUAAAAAUGUUUUUCCAUUAACCUUAAAAAAGCUGAAUACCGGACCUUAUUUUUCUCAUUAU